AACGAACGCUGGCGGCAUGCCUAACACAUGCAAGUCGAACGAUCCCUUCGGGGAUAGUGGCGCACGGGUGCGUAACGCGUGGGAACCUGCCCUUAGGUUCGGAAUAACUCAGAGAAAUUUGAGCUAAUACCGGAUAAUGUCUUCGGACCAAAGAUUUAUCGCCUUUGGAUGGGCCCGCGUUGGAUUAGCUAGUUGGUGGGGUAAAGGCCUACCAAGGCGACGAUCCAUAGCUGGUCUGAGAGGAUGAUCAGCCACACUGGGACUGAGACACGGCCCAGACUCCUACGGGAGGCAGCAGUGGGGAAUAUUGGACAAUGGGCGAAAGCCUGAUCCAGCAAUGCCGCGCGAGUGAUGAAGGCCUUAGGGUUGUAAAGCUCUUUUACCCGGGAUGAUAAUGACAGUACCGGGAGAAUAAGCCCCGGCUAACUCCGUG
rnacentral:rRNA from 1 species